rnacentral:snRNA from 1 species
GUGUUACCUUUGGCAGCCCAGAUACUAAAAUUAGAGCACACAGAGAUUGUCUUCGUCUCUGCACCAGGAUGGCAUGCAGAUUCAUGAGGCAUUCCAUAUUUCU